rnacentral:rRNA from 1 species
UACGGAGGGUGCAAGCGUUAUCCGGAUUCACUGGGUUUAAAGGGUGCGUAGGCGGUCUUAUAAGUCAGUGCUGAAAUAUCCCGGCUUAACCGGGAGGGUGGCAUUGAUACUGUAGGACUUGAGUAGAGUUGAGGUUGGCGGAAUUGACGGUGUAGCGGUGAAAUGCUUAGAUAUCGUCAAGAACACCGAUAGUGAAGACAGCUAACUAAGCUCAAACUGACGCUGAGGCACGAAAGUGUGGGGAUCAAACAGG